rnacentral:rRNA from 1 species
UAACGAAUCUUCCGCAAUGCACGAAAGUGUGACGGAGCGACGCCGCGUGGAGGACGAAGUUCUUCGGAAUGUAAACUCCUGUCAGGGGUAAGAAAGUUCUGAUCUACCCCAGAGGAAGGCACGGCUAACUCUGUGCCAGCAGCCGCGGUAAUACAGAGGUGCCAAGCGUUAGGCGGAAUCACUGGGCUUAAAGCGUGUGUAGGUGGAGACCUAAGUACCUUGUGAAAUCCCACGGCUCAACCGUGGAACUGCUGGGUAUACUGGGUCUCUUGAGCCAACUAGGGGCGAGCGGAACAAAUGGUGGAGCGGUGAAAUGCGUAGAUAUCAUUUGGAACGCCAAUGGUGAAAACAGCUCGCUGGGGUUGUGCUGACACUGAGACACGAAAGCCAGGGGAGCGAACGGGAUUAGAUACCCCUGUAGUCC